AAACUCAAACUGGAAUUGACGGGGACCAGCACAAAUGGUGGAUUAUGUUGUUUAAUUCGUCAGUACACGCAGAACCUUACCAAGAUUUGACAUCCUCUGCAAAGUUAUAGAAAUAUAAUGGAGGUUAACAGAGUGACAGGUGAUGCAUGGUUGUCGCCAGCUCGUGUCGUGAGAUGUUGGGUUAAGUCCCGCAACGAGCGAAACCCCUAACGUUAGUUAAUUUAUCUAGCGCAACUGCCUAUGUAAGUAGGAGGAAGGCGGGGAUGACGUCAAAUAUCAUGUCCUUUAUAUCUUGGGCUACAAACGUAAUACAAUGGUCGGUACAAACUGUUACCAAACCGUAAGGUGGAGUUAAUCAGAAAAAGCCGAUCUCAGUUCGGAUCGAGGGUUGCAAUUCAUCCUCGUGAAGCUGGAAUCAUUAGUAAUCGCGUAUCAGACAUGUCGCGGUGAAUACGUUCUCUGGUCUUGUACACACCGCCCGUC
rnacentral:rRNA from 1 species